GACGUAGGUGGCGAGCGUUGUCCGGAAUUACUGGGCGUAAAGGGCGUGUAGGCGGCCUGUUAAGUCAGGCGUGAAAGCCCUGGGCUUAACCCAGGGACUGCGUUUGAAACUGAUGGGCUUGAGGACGGGAGAGGGAAGUGGAACUCCGUGUGUAGCGGUGAAAUGCGUAGAUAUACGGAAGAACACCAGUGGCGAAGGCGGCUUCCUGGACCGUCCCUGACGCUGAGGCGCGAAAGCCAGGGGAGCGAACGGG
rnacentral:rRNA from 1 species